rnacentral:rRNA from 1 species
CAAGGAAGGCAGCAGGCGCGCAAAUUACCCACUCCCGGCACGGGGAGGUAGUGACGAAAAAUAACGAUACGGGACUCAUCCGAGGCCCCGUAAUCGGAAUGAGUACACUCUAAACCCUUUAACGAGGAUCAAUUGGAGGGCAAGUCUGGUGCCAGCAGCCGCGGUAAUUCCAGCUCCAAUAGCGUAUAUUAAAGUUGUUGCGGUUAAAAAGCUCGUAGUCGAAUCUGUGUCUCCCGCCGCCGGUUCAUCGCUCGCGGUGUUUAACUGGCGUGCCGAGGGACGUCCUGCCGGUGGGCUCUGCUCUUUCGGGGGCGGCCCAACUUAGAAUCCCACCGCGGUGCUCUUUGCUGAGUGUCGGGGUGGGCCGGCACGUUUACUUUGAACAAAUUAGAGUGCUUAAAGCAGGCUAAAAUUUCGCCUGAAUAUUCUGUGCAUGGAAUAAUGGAAUAGGACCUCGGUUCUAUUUUGUUGGUUUUCGGAACCCCGAGGUAAUGAUUAAUAGGAACGGAUGGGGGCAUUCGUAUUGCGACGUUAGAGGUGAAAUUCUUGGAUCGUCGCAAGACGGACGGAAGCGAAAGCAUUUGCCAAAAACGUUUUCAUUGAUCAAGAACGAAAGUUAGAGGUUCGAAGGCGAUCAGAUACCGCCCUAGUUCUAACCAUAAACGAUGCCAGCUAGCGAUCCGCCGACGUUCCUCCGAUGACUCGGCGGGCAGCUUCCGGGAAACCAAAGCUUUUGGGUUCCGGGGGAAGUAUGGUUGCAAAGCUGAAACUUAAAGGAAUUGACGGAAGGGCACCACCAGGAGUGGAGCCUGCGGCUUAAUUUGACUCAACACGGGAAACCUCACCAGGCCCGGACACCGGAAGGAUUGACAGAUUGAGAGCUCUUUCUUGAUUCGGUGGGUGGUGGUGCAUGGCCGUUCUUAGUUGGUGGAGCGAUUUGUCUGGUUAAUUCCGAUAACGAACGAGACUCUAGCCUGCUAACUAGGCGUAUUUUCGACAUCUCAAAGGCCCCACGGCCCGGCGUUUUCGCGCCGAGGUCGCGCGCGGUUUUUACUGUCGGCGUACAAUCAAUUCUUCUUAGAGGGACAGGCGGCGUCUAGCCGCACGAGAUUGAGCAAUAACAGGUCUGUGAUGCCCUUAGAUGUUCUGGGCCGCACGCGCGCUACACUGAAGGAAUCAGCGUGUCCUCCCUGGCCGAGAGGCCCGGGUAACCCGCUGAACCUCCUUCGUGCUAGGGAUUGGGGCUUGCAAUUGUUCCCCAUGAACGAGGAAUUCCCAGUAAGCGCGAGUCAUAAGCUCGCGUUGAUUACGUCCCUGCCCUUUGUACACACCGCCCGUCGCUACUACCGAUUGAAUGAUUUAGUGAGGUCUUCGGACCGGUACGCGGCGGCGUUAACGCGUCGCCGAUGUUGCUGGGAAGAUGACCAAA